AACAAUACAAGGCAGUUAAAAUGCUUUGUAAUUGGAAUGAUAGAAAUUUAAACCCUUUUUAAAGUAUCAAUUGGAGGGCAAGUCUGGUGCCAGCAGCCGCGGUAAUUCCAGCUCCAAUAGCGUAUAUUAAAAUUGUUGCAGUUAAAAAGCUCGUAGUUGAAGUUCUGCURAAAGUAACCGGUCUGCUUUUAAUAAAAGUGGUAUCUUGGURUGUAUUUAGCAAUGAUGUCCUUUGAAGUGUUUUUUACUUUAUUGUAAUAAAGCAUAUUCAGGACUUUUACUUUGAGAAAAUUAGAGUGUUUCUAGCAGGCUGACGCUUUGAAUACUGCAGCAUGGAAUAAUAAGAUAGGAUUUUAGUUCUACAUUAUUGGUUUUAAGAGCUAAAUUAAUGAUUGAUAGGGACAGUUGGGGGCAUUUGUAUUUAACUGUCAGAGGUGAAAUUCUUAGAUUUGUUAAAGACAAACUACUGCGAAAGCAUUUGCCAAAGAUGUUUUCAUUAAUCAAGAACGAAAGUUAGGGGAUCGAAGACGAUCAGAUACCGUCGUAGUCUUAACUAUAAACUAUGCCGACUAGAGAUUGGAGGUCGUCUUUAUAAAC
rnacentral:rRNA from 1 species